CUAUGAUUUCCAAUCUCCCUGAACUGUAGAAUCGUAUCAAACCUUCCCGAUGCAAGGAAUGGGGUUUGUUUUUUUUUUCAAGAAGAGAAAGAGAGAAAUCCGUGCUAAGUCUUUUUAAUGGGAUUGAAUAUCAUUUGCUGUCUCAUCAGUUUUGCAAAAGAGCCCUAAACUAAUCACACUGCGAUUCUUUUCAUCCCUACACCAGCUAUCAAUUUAAACCAUGACGCUGAUUUUGUUGUGUGUAUAUGUGUGUGUGUGGGUACAAAAGUAAAAUGGAAAAGUCCUUUAAGAUUAAGCUUUUCGGUAUCAAAAGGUGCUUUAAUGCAAAGGUGUGAUUUCCUUGUG